AGGUUGGAUAUAUUUUCCUGUAAAUACAGCGGUGAAGUUAGUUUCAGGUUGGAUAUACUUUCCUGUAAAUACGGCGGUGAAUUUAGUUUUAGGUUGGAUAUAUUUUCCUGUAAAUACGGCGGUGAAUUUAGUUUUAGGUUGGAUAUAUUUUCCUGUAAAUACGGCGGUGAAGUUAGUUUUAGGUUGGAUAUAUUUUCCUGUAAAUACGGCGGUGAAGUUAGUUUCAGGUUGGAUAUCUGACGGACAUUCUCUGAGGAUCUACCGGUGUCUUCUCACUGUCCAUAACCAGGAAUAACAACAGCAGCGCGGUUAAAUCUACUCGACACCCUCACUGUCAACGUUGGUGUUGAAUAAGGGACCGUCAAUAAAUUACCUGUUGAUGUUCUCAGAAAAGGCUGUUUUCCUUCAAUGGCUUCACUGUCAUGUGACCAAAAGACCUAAAACUGAUUUCAAAUAAUAGUACUAAGGUCGGACAAUAAGACAAACAUUAUUUAUCAAUUUUCAUCGUGCCGCUAAAGUUCUUUGUGCUCCUUCUGAAAAAAGUUAGUGUCAAGCCCUCAUCUGAAGAAAUUAAAACUUUUAAAGUGUUGAAGGUUUUUAUUAAUUCUUCAAAACUCAGUUCAGAGAAGCUCAAACUUUAAACCUCAAAUUUAGUCCAAACUGACUCUAGCAUGCAAACCAAAGGACCUUUUAUUGGUAGAAUGGAUAAAAAAAAAAACUCUUAAAUAAAGUAAAAAUGUUUUUUUUUUUUUGGAUGAGUAAAAACUCUUGCAGUAUCUAUUUUUUGACCCUAAGUGUCGUUUCCCGGUGUGUGAGCUCAGCCGCAGAGUGUCUCAGCUGUGUUGAAACUCCCUCCUAUCUUCACAGAGCCUAAAAUAGCCUCUCCGCUCUCGUCCCGGCUACAUCAGCCCUCAUGAUAGUGUCAGAUCAGCCCCUGGAAUGCAGCGACAAGCUCUCACACUCAGAUUGGAUGCUUAUCAAGGCAGCAUGAGCUCUGAUUGGAUGCUUAUCAUAACCAUAUCCUGUUGUCAGCUGAUGGAAUGACCUUUACGCUAUCAGCUCGGGAUGCCAUGGCGGGGCGAGGCUGGACUUUCCCUCUUUCAAUUUUCACACCUUUUCCAGACCUGCGAGCCAAAACGUAUUCUUAGCUGUACAGUUGUAACAAACUACCAGCCUUUAGGGCGACUUUAAAGCGACCUGGAGCCGUUAACAGGAUUAAACAGUCAGCUGCAGUGACGUCUCCACUGCUAUAACUGGGUUUGUGCCAAAAGUCUAAAAUAUGUGCGUUGCAUCAGCACAUUCAGGGAAAUUUUUAGUUUCUGAAAAGUUGGUUUGGAGAAAAUCCAAGACAAGUACAGUGUGCCGAACUGACUAAGAGUGGGAAACACCAUGAAAAGGAAAAAGACAGUUCACUGCACUGGAGAGGGUUCAGGGGCACCGAGGAUGAAAUUUAAAAAAGCACCUGAAGUAUGCCAUCAAAGAUUUUAGGAUAUACUAUAUAAUGAUCGAUGAUGACGAUGAUACACUUUGUCCACAUUUUGAAAAAGAAAGUAAACCACUUCAUUUACUUUUUAUCAACAGGAAGAGCAACCAGUCUAUCAUAUGUAUGAGGAAGGAAAUUCAAGUUUGGUACUUUGUCUACAUUUUAUCAACUGGAAACACAACAGGAUGACAUGAAGUCAAUACACUAAAAAGAAACAAAAAAGACCAAUUGUUUUACAUUUAUAUAAACUGGAAGGACAUUCAGAGGGUACUUAUACUUAAUACUCAGAGGGUACUUUGUUUACACUGUCUUUCUUUACACUUAAUCCACUGUAAGGACAUUCAGAGGGUACUUUGUUUACAUUUAAUCCUCUCAGAAUACUUUGUUUACACUUCAUUUACUGUAAGGAUUCUCUGAGAAUACUUUUUUUUACACUAAAUACUCAGAGAAUACUUGGUCAAAUCUUGAUAUACUGUAAUGAUACUUAGAGAAUACUUUGUUUACACUAAAUCCACUGUAAGGACAUUCAGAUGGUACUUUGUUUACAGUUAGUACUCAGAGGGCACUUUUUUUACACUUAAAGCUCACAAAAUACUUUGUACUUAAUACACUGUGAGGACAUUCAGAGGGUACUUUUUUACACUUUUCCAUUUAAAGAGCAAUCAGAGGGAACUUUGUUUACAAAGUUUUUUUUCUUUGUUUUCAUUUUAUUCACCUGAAGAGAAUCUGCUGUGGUGGUUUACAGUUGAUUUACACGGCACUUGUUUUUCAUGAUGUCUGAUGGACUUCAGAGGCGUUUAAAAAAGACUCGUAUGUGUUUGUUUUUCAGAUAUGAGAGCACUGAGGUUGGUGAUGAAGAGUCAGACUCUCAGAGUCACGUCUUCACUUGACAUGUUUGUUUCACACUUUCUAUAAUUACAGAUAUCUUUGUGGAUUCAUGGUAAUCAUACUCACAAAGUUUUCCAACAAUCAUUUAUUUUCUAAAACUUGCAAAGGAACGACUUCUCCUCUUCUGAUAAAACUUUAACAUCCAGGCCAACAGAUCUUUAACCACGAGCAUGUGAAGGUUCGACUCAGAGAAACAUCUAUAAGGUGAAUGUUUUAACUCCAUAAAGUCCGUUACGAUGCCUUUGGUUUCUCCUUAAAAAUACUUGACAGAUAAUGAUUCCUACUUUAAAUUACAUCUCUGACAGAGACCGCUGGUGAAUUUCAGGGUGUAAUUCUGCUGCUGGGACAUAAAUCUGAGCGUGAGUGCUUUGUGGCUGCCCAGGUCAGUCCUCCUGUGGGAAAAGAGAGAUGAGAGGCUCAGGGUCAAUCUGGGCUAAGCCCUGCUGGUGCCAGUGGACCCCCCGGUUCCCCCGACAGACCCUGGGCCAGCGCUGACAUCAGACCAGGUCAAAUACUGUCUAAGAAACGGACCUGGUUAAAAAAAAGAGGUAAUGGCAUCAGGUUAGCUGUCAGAGUGAAAACUCUGAUCGAAUUAUCGAGUCAUGAGUGUUUCUGUUUUCAUCCACGUACAUGAGAGCUGCUUCAAUAUUUCAGAUACACAAUAACCUUCAUUUCUGAAAGAGAGAGUAAUAUUUGUAUUAGGACUGAAAAGUAUAUACGUCAUCAGUAACAUAAAAGUUACAGUAAAAUGGUUAAGAGUAAAAUGUCAAAAUAAAAGCGUUUAUCUGCAAAACAGUCAUUUUAAACGGGUUCAUAAGCAGCCUGAAUAUUAAGCAUAAAAAAGUCAAAUUAAAAGUAUAUUUUCACAAUAAAAUAAUUGUUUUAUCUAAAUUUUGAACAGAAUUUUUUCAAAAUAAAAGCAUUUAUAGCACAGUUGGUCAAUAAUUAGAUAAAGCAAACAACAAACUUAAUGAUUAAAUGGAAAAAACAAAAAGUAUUAAUAAGUAUUAAUAGUAGAAAAACGGAAAAAGAUUAAACAUGUUAAUCAUCAAAAUGUCACAUUAAAAGCUUUUUAAAAUAUUUAUUAUUUGUAUGUUUACUUAAUAAGUAAAAUUUACCAUCUGUGAUGUUUUUUCCCCCCAAUAUUCUCUGUUUAUAUCAUAAAAAUAUGGUAAAUGGGAUUUUUUUGAGCCACAAUAGUCAUGAGGUGAAAAUCUGACAUCCUGAUGUCUCUCAGUGACUCUUGUUCUUUUUAUCCUGAGGUUUUUUUGCAGAAAUGUAAGAAGUUUGUUAGUGUUAGAGAUAUUGUUCAUUAUUGUGCAGAUUAUUAAAAGACAUAGUUUGGAUCUUCGUCUUCAUUUUCCUCAUUUUGACUCUGUCUUGGACAGAUCUGAGAUCAUAUAAACCUCUUAGAUGAACCAAAACAAAACCCGAUCCUGCAGCAGAGUGGACCUAACGGAGCUCAGUCUAGUAAAACUGAGUGCAGGGUUUUGGCUCGAUCCCGCCGCUCUCUCGCUCUCGGCACCAUUUUCCCAUUCUCCGGCUUUUCCAUGUCGACUUCGCUCUGCGGCCUCGCUCCUGAGGAAAAACAGACGCCCCUUCUGCCUCCGCGCUCCCCCUCCUCCCCCACUGACGGCUUUCUUCUCUUCCCCCCCGUUGCCCCUUGGGCUUUUUUUUAUGGCAGGGCUUCUAACACAUGACCUCUGCCAUGCAUUAGACUGCAUGUACACGUCCGUACACCACAAAAUAAAACAGGAACAGUGUGUGAUAAAGGAUGAGAACGGGCUUUCGAAUGUGCGUCUUUGUUGCUGAGAUCUCUCUGUGAGGCGAGUCCAGCUCCUCGAACCCCGGUCUCUGGUCCGCCAGUUUCCAGCAGCGAUAAAAGCAUUUUGAUUUAUCCCCUGCGAAACACAUUUGUACGGUAAUCCAAUCAAACAGCAGCCUCAAAGGGAGAGCAAGAAAUCUUCUCGACCUCGUGGACGUUUUCAUUUGGUUCCUUUUUCGCCAGCGCUACCUCAUCUGGACGACCUCUCCUGCGAGUCGUCCCGCCGGCCGCUGCCUUAUGCGGGGUGACAAGCUGUAAUUUGGUGUACACAUUUUAGCUCAUUUGCAUGAGAAGCACUUAUGCAGCCCGCCACCAAGUUGAACGAAUUACCGCGGCGGUUAUUCUCAGUCUAAAUAACGGAGGCUAAAUAAUGAGGGAUGCUGGGAAGUGAGGGAGUCGCUCAUUACAACAGAGCGGCUUUUUGUUAACUGCGGGCCUCCGCCGUCACUGCGACCAUGACUAACACGUGAGGGGCGUUCGGUUUUUUACGAUUAAGUUACACAUAUAUACGUUCAGGAUAUAUGGACGUAUGUUGUUUCGUAUCCUUCUGCACAAACCAGCGUUAUUCUUUUUUACUCCAUGGCGACUGAGUCAUGGAGUCUGCUUGGGUGGCGGUCUGGGUGAUGGAUGCAUCAAACAACCCGAGACUUAAAUCAAGGAGACCAGGUCUGAGUCUCGUUGGAGACCCGACGUCAAAUUUGACCAUUUUAAUUGAAGUCAUGUAUGGACCAGGACUUCACUUCCCUGUGUUCUAACCACGACCCCGACCGACCUAACCAGAUACUCUGUUGGCGCUGAGGCGUCUUGGUUUGGUUCGUACAAUGCACCGAUGUUAACUUUUAGGUUCACACGGGACACAAACGCUGGUUUCUCGGUAUAAGAGAGGGGGCCGUCAGGCUGAAAGCACGACGAUCACGCCAUCCCCACGCAAUGUGGUGAUCUGACCGAAAGGAAAAGGUUUGGUGACGGGGCAUUUCCAGCGCCGAGCGACCGAAUCGCCCAAAAACGCUUGUGAAUAAAAAGCCACACUCCACAGGGUUUAUUUUCUUAAAACUACACGGAAAUUUUCUCCUGCUGCUGAAUUUUGUCAUAAUGAGAGACAAUGAGGCACAAAAGUGACGCCUGCCAGGUAUCCCAGAAUGCUUUGAGCAGGGAGGAGAUGGUUGCAUGCCCUCGGUCUGCAUCACGAAGCAGGCGAGAUAUACUUGGAGAUUAGUUUGAUAUUUAUCCUGAUGGACCUGGAAAAACAGGAAACGCACGGCCAAGAUCUGUCUGUCAGGGCUGAAAAUAAUGUCUGUUUUAGUCAUUGACGAGUCAGCAAUUAUCAAAAUGGUUAUUUUACGUAUUUGAUACUGAUGGCAAACCUACUGUUGGGAAUUUAUCGUAACAAUAACCCCCAAUUUCCACCACAUCCUGAUCGUCUCCUAAAAGGUCGUAUCCUCCGAUCGUAGCUGAUCGUAACCAUUCAAGUUAACGUGUCAAUUUACACCGACUUCUUUCUGUUCCUCUGCGGAUCGCCGGACUCCUCAGCUGAUCACAAGAGUUCUAGUUUUUCUGGACGCCGGAGCAUGGCGGAUAAAUUCAGCACAGAUUAACCCGUGCUGGAAAGGAAGUCGGGCACAGACACAAAAUAAAACAUCCGGCUUCUUUUCAAAAUAAAACACUUAUGGAUGAGGAGAUGCUGAUUCUAGAAGUCUAGAAGUAGAUUUCCUCCUCUGGAAGGACACAAUCUACUGCUUAUAAGGUUAGCCUCUGUGGCUAAAGACAACUUGUUAUCACGCGGUUGCAUGUGAAUCCGCGGGUUCAUGUGAGUUUUAGCGAUUCCUGCUGUCCGCAAUCCGCCUCGAAAUUCACCUCACAAACUGAUCUGGUAGGAAUUGGUGGAUGGCCGUUCUGGAUUGGAGCUGUUCCAGAUGCAGUGAAAAUUAGGCGUAGGACACUGUUUAGUGAGCCUUGGCGUGAUUUUGACGUGUGACGGAGAAACUGGAGGAACAGAAUUUUGCUGAAUUUGCACAAAACUUUUAAAAUAUUGAAUUUUUUAUGAUACCUGAUACACGUGUGAAGUUUGGUGAGUUAUGGAGCGUGAUGACGGCAGAAAGAAUAAUACGUCUCGUAGUUUUUAAUCAUAUAAUCAGUUUGAUUUCAACACAUAUUUAAAAGCCCAUAUUCAGUCCGACACUUGCAUUGUUUGCAGACGACCUCCUGGUUUAUUUAACAAAUUUAUUCCACCUAAAUCUUGUCGAGCGUUUCUUAACAAACUUGAAUAAGCUUGACCUCCACUCUCUGUUUUCCACGGCGUGUUUGUGAAGACCAGAAGUCCAGGAACAUCAGCCCUCA
rnacentral:lncRNA from 1 species